AAAUCUGAGAAGGCCAUUUGGACACUUCCUCAUACACUUCAGUUUUGCUGUCACUGCUGCAGAAAGAUGCGUUCAUAACGUCCUGUCUGCAGUCUGAUCGUAUGGGAGCCAGGACUGUCCUCAGAGAUGCAGCCUCAACUGCCAGAGUCACGAGUGUUGAAAGUCCCUACAUCCUUACUUCAAAGACUGAAAUCCCAAAUGUUAAAGUGCUGAAGCUUCAUCUUGCGAACUGCACUCAGGAGAUUCCAUCCCGGGUACCUGUUUUCUAGAAAUGGCACUGGAAGACAACCUAGCGUGUAUGGGACAAGACCUGUCAUCUACAAGCGUGAAGCCCUCUGCCAGCCCCUUAACCUGCUGGCCACGUGCACACAGUCUGCUCUCACAGUCACCUUUAGUCAUAGCAAAUGCAGUCUUCUGUCCAGAAAAGGAAGCCAAGUUCUUAUCCUAAGAGCCGGAACCCCUACCUUCUCUUUGAGGAGUGGACAAUGUACGUACAGAAUACAGCUUUGCUUACUUUCUGUCCUAAUAUCCUGGGGCUACUGUGUCUUGCUCCAAGCCUCUCUGAUUCUAUUCUGGACAUCUCUCAAUAGACAUUUCUGUAUCUUGUUACCAAACACAAACAUGGAUAUAAGAAUUUUUAAGAUUCGAAGCCCUAUGCUAGUCAUAACUGAUUCACAUGUCAAGGGUCUUUGAUGUUGAAUUGUUAAUUGUCUUCCAUGCAAGUCUCAUCUCAGUAGCUAUAAAAUGUUCAACACAGAGAGAAAAAUAUACUUUUUAAGCCAUGAGCAGCUAAUGGAUGGAGUAGCUUACAUCAGAAAGAUAAAACCUGUUGCUACCGACUUUGGAUGGGAAUUUAUAACUCUAUAUUUUUGAGAAUUUUUGUUUUGCCUUUUGCAACAGGGUCUCACUAUGUAGUUCAGGCUGGCCUUGAGCUCUCUUUGUAGCCCAGGCUGGCCUCGAACUGGCAGCAAGC
rnacentral:lncRNA from 1 species